rnacentral:piRNA from 1 species
UGCUCAAUUGAAACUAACAUUUGCUGCUC